rnacentral:rRNA from 1 species
ACGGCUGUAUCACGUUGAAACGCCAGUUUUCAUCCGAUCACCGAAGUUAAGCAAUGUCGAGCUUGGUCAGUAGCUAGAUGGGUGACCGUUUGAGAAUAUCAGGUGUUGGA